AUGGCUCAGAAGGUUGUGUUAAAGGUGUUAACUAUGACUGAUGACAAAACAAAGCAAAAAGCUAUAGAAGCAGCUGCAGAUAUCUAUGGAGUUGAUUCAAUAGUUGCAGAUAUAAAAGAGCAGAAAUUGACAGUGAUUGGUUCAAUGGACACAGUGAAAAUAGUGAAGAAACUGAAGAAAGUUGGAAAAGUAGAUAUUGUAUCUGUUGGACCUGCAAAAGAAGAGAAAAAAGAAGAAAAAAAGGAAGAGAAAAAGGAAGAAAAAAAAGAAGAGAAAAAGGAGGAAAAGAAAGAAGAGAAGAAGGAGGAAAAGAAAGAGGAGAAUAAAUAA